UUUUUUUUUUUUUUUUUUUUUUUUUUUCCCUCACUUGCUUAUUCAUGCCUUAAUGUCACUCAGAGCCCUUUCUGUGCAUGCUCUGCAAUGCCACCGGGAUUUUCUGCACUCCCUGAACAACCUCUGGCACCUUUUUGCAGAGACACCUCACUGAGCCGGGGUUACACAGCUUCCCCUCUUGGAUUUGCCAUCCAGCAGAACGUGGCCAUUGUCAAAGUGGAAAGGGAAUAGCAGCAAAGCCUUUGGAAUGUAUAAACAGGCUGAGUGAGCCCCUCUUGGUCGCUGCUCAAGAGCAGGGACACCUCCCAGCAGACCAGCUUGACCAAGGUCUUGCCCAGGUCCAUAGCCUCCCUGAGCAACCUGUUCCAGUAUCUCACCACCCUCACAGUAAAGAAUUUAUUCAUAAUAUCCAGUCUCAGCUUCCACUUUCUCAGUCUGUAGCCACUGACUGCAGCUCCUGCAGAGUUGGAAGAGUUUUUUAAGCAGAGCUGGGUCCCAGGAGAUGGGGCUGGCAGAGCCCUCUCAGCUGCAAACAAGGCACACCACCCCUGCCCUGCAUUUUGCAUGUCUGCUCUGAACAAAGCCCUUUUCAUCUCCCAGAGGUGUUUCCUCAAGGGAUCUUGCUCCUUAAACCUCCACAUUUCCCUCCUCCUUUCCAGCUGCUGCUCCACCUGACUUCCUUUCCUGGAAGAGAAGGAAGGAGGAAUCACAAACCCUCCCACAGAUAUUGAUGCUGGUAUUUGCUGUUCCAUUUAGCAGGCACUCUUUCCUUGAGCCAUUUGCUUUCCAAGAGAUUUAUUUAGCUGUUGCUGUGAGGUCUGGUGCACCUCCAGCUUUCACUUCACUAAAAAUCCUCCUAUGGGAGCAAGAAUUGACCCUUUGCACGUGCCUAUGGGUGUUGUUCCUUUUCUGUGGGGCUGACCAGGGAUGGAUGAAGACAAAACUCCUAUAGAGGCAGCCAAAAGGCCUGUCUAGACUAAUGUGAUCUUUCAGCUUACUCAGGGAGGCUGUUUUUCCAUGCCCAAAGCACAGAUAUUUUAACUGUCUCCUUAAUUUGCUCCUUAAAGCAGUUAGCAGAAUUCCAGUCAUCAAUCAGUCGUGGCAGGCUAUCCAGAAGGCAUGGCCAGGAAUUGUGCAUUAAUUGUGAAUGCUUUGCUGAAUUUACUGCAUGGCAGCACCAGAUUUUUCACUCUGAGAUGAAGCAUGAAUGUGCUGCUUGGCACAAUCAAUACUUUUCUAGGUUGCUAGAAAAUUACCAGGGACUCAGUGCCCAUGCCUGGGGUAUUACCACCCUCCCUGGAAUGCACAGAAAUGUGUCAGCUCCUUCCCUGCACUGGAGCAUCUGCCUUGGGAACAGGCUGGGCACAAAGUGAGACCCCGUCAGCCAGGACAUCUCCAGCCGAGACAAAGGAGCCAUUAUCCCACUCAGCACUGGUCAGGCCACUCCUGGAACACUGUGCUCAGUUGUGGCCCAUGCUGUACAGAAAAGGUGUGGGAGAGGGCCCAGAGAAGGAAGGGCCCCAGAGAUGACCCAAGGACUGGGAAAGCUGCCAGGUGAGGAAAGGCUGAGAGCCCCGGGUUUGUCCAGCCUUGAGAAAAAAGAACGUUAUCCCCAUAAUCUGGGCUGGCUACUGAGAAGAUGGAGAUUCCCUUGGACAGAAAAGAUGAGGGGUAAGGGGUGCAAGUUUUUUUUCCCCUGGGGAUAUUCCAGCUAGACACAAGAGGAUAAUUUUUCUCAGUGAGAAGAAUCAGCCAUUGGCAUAAUCUCCCCAGAGAAGCAGAGGAUUUCUCAACUCUGCACACUUUCAAGAUUCUGUAAGGGUGCUAGGCUGUCUUGUCCCAGAAAGGUUGGACCAGAUGAUCCCUGAGGCCCCUUCCCACCUCAUAUCCCAGGGUCUCCUGCACAAUCUUUCCUUCACCACUGAAUCAACUCCAGGGGAGCCAGCCCAGGCUGGGGCCAGCAAGGAGACCCACAGCAUGUGACAGCCAGCCAGCCACUGUCCCCAGAGGUGCCAUAGCUUGGUAACAGCUUGCUGCACAGGGACUGUGGUACCUCCCCCUCCCAGCUCCAUGGAAGGAUGUUUGGCCAGCUUUCCAUGCCCCAGGAGAGACCUUGGAGGAGGCAGGACAUGUGGUGUGGCACUUGUCCUGUCGGGACCUCUAAAAACAGUGUAAUUAACAAGAGGCAUUUUUCCUGCUGAGAGGUGAAUCCAGUCCCUGUGUGGGUUAUUCAAGCAGACUUGAGAGAAGUUCCAUCAUGGCUGGGUUGAGAGCUAGAGAAGUUCCAGAUAUUUCUUGGUCAGAGUUGCAGGCAUAUUGUUUUUUUAGGACAGACAACAAAAACCUCUCACUUCCCAGAGAUUUUUUUUAAGGGAUCACAGGUGACACUGCUGUGUCCCAAACACAUGGGUUUACGCUUUUUUUAUUCUUGGAGCAGCUGCCAAUCCAUGCUGCUCCAGUGGGAGAUGUUCAUGGGAGAUGCAGAGGCAUCACUCUUUCAAUCAGCCUUAGCUGGUCAGCUUAUU
ensembl:lncRNA